CGGCAACAGCUCAAAUUUGAAAUCUGGCGCUUGCGUCCGAAUUGUAAUUUGCAGAGGGUGCCUCGGGUUUAGGGUCGGUCCAAGUUCCUUGGAACAGGAUACCGUAGAGGGUGAGAGUCCCGUCUUCGGCCUUCCCAACGCCCGUGUGAGGCCCCUUCGAC
rnacentral:rRNA from 1 species